rnacentral:rRNA from 1 species
GGCAUAGCUGGGUAGCUAUGUGUGGACGGGAUAAGUGCUGAAAGCAUCUAAGCAUGAAGCCCCCCUCAAGAUGAGAUUUCCCAACUUCGGUUAUAAGAUCCCUCAAAGAUGAUGAGGUUAAUAGGUUCGAUGUGGAAGCAUGGUGACAUGUGGAGCUGACGAAUACUAAUCGAUCGAAGACUUAAUCAAAA